UCGGGAAUUUUGGGCAAUGGGCGAAAGCCUGACCCAGCAACGCCGCGUGAGGGAUGAAGUAUUUCGGUAUGUAAACCUCGAAAGAAUGGGAAGAAUAAAUGACGGUACCAUUAUAAGCUCCGGCUAACUACGUGCCAGCAGCCGCGGUAAUACGUAGGGAGCAAGCGUUGUUCGGAUUUACUGGGCGUAAAGGGCGCGUAGGCGGCGCGGUAAGUCACUUGUGAAAUCUCUGAGCUUAACUCAGAACGGCCAAGUGAUACUGCUGUGCUAGAGUGCGGAAGAGGCAACCGGAAUUCUUGGUGUAGCGGUGAAAUGCGUAGAUAUCAAGAGGAACACCUGAGGCGAAGGCGGGUUGCUGGGCCGACACUGACGCUGAUGCGCGAAAGCCAGGGGAGCAAACG
rnacentral:rRNA from 1 species